UACGUAGGGGGCAAGCGUUGUCCGGAUUUAUUGGGCGUAAAGAGCGUGUAGGCGGCCAGAUAGGUCAGCUGUGAAAACUCGAGGCUCAACCUCGAGACGUCGGUUGAAACCAUCUGGCUAGAGUCCGGAAGAGGAGAGUGGAAUUCCCGGUGUAGCGGUGAAAUGCGCAGAUAUCAGGAGGAACACCGGUGGCGAAGGCGGCCCACUGGUCCGGUACUGACGCUGAGGUGCGAAAGCGUGGGGAGCGAACAGG
rnacentral:rRNA from 1 species